CCUAAGGCGAGGCUGAAAAGCGUAGUCGAUGGACAACGGGUUAAUAUUCCCGUACCAUUAUUUAUUGAUAUCGAGGGACGGAGAAGGCUAAACUGGCCGAAGAUUGGUUGAUUCGGUUUAAAUGUUCGAGGUUAGGAGAAAUGGCGAAAACAUUUUGAGCUGAGACAUGAAUACAAGAUACCACGGUAUUAGAGCAGUUAAUGUCAUACUUCCAAGAAAAGCUCGCACUGUCACAAAUAAAUAAUGCCUGUACCAUAACCGACACAGGUAGGUAAGUAGAGAAUACUAAGGGGCGCGAGAUAACUCUCUCUAAGGAACUCGGCAAAAUAACUCCGUAACUUCGGGAGAAGGAGUGCCUUAUUAAUUAAGGUUGCAAUAUCAAGAUCCAAGCAACUGUUUACCAAAAACACAGGUCUCCGCUAAGUCGUAAGACGAUGUAUGGGGGCUGACGCCUGCCCAGUGCCAGAAGGUUAAAGAAAUUGGUUAGCAAUAGCAAAGCUAGUAACUGAAGCCCUGGUGAACGGCGGCCGUAACGAUAACGGUCCUAAGG
rnacentral:rRNA from 1 species